rnacentral:rRNA from 1 species
GACGAACGCUGGCGGCGUGCUUAACACAUGCAAGUCGAACGGUGAAGGGACCGGUUUUUGCUGGUUCUGGAUGAGUGGCGAACGGGUGAGUAACACGUGAGUAAUCUGCCCCCUUCUUCUGGAUAACCGCAUGAAAGUGUGGCUAAUACGGGAUAUUCUGCGCCUGCUGCAUGGUGGGUGUGGGAAAGAUAUUGUUUCGGUGGGGGAUGGGCUCGCGGCCUAUCAGCUUGUUGGUGGGGUGAUGGCCUACCAAGGCGGUGACGGGUAGCCGGCCUGAGAGGGUGGACGGUCACACUGGGACUGAGACACGGCCCAGACUCCUACGGGAGGCAGCAGUGGGGAAUAUUGCACAAUGGGCGCAAGCCUGAUGCAGCGACGCCGCGUGAGGGAUGGAGGCCUUCGGGUUGUAAACCUCUUUCGCCAGUGAAGCAGGCCUGUCCCUUUUGUGGGUGGGUUGACGGUAGCUGGAUAAGAAGCGCCGGCUAACUACGUG